rnacentral:rRNA from 1 species
UACGUAGGGUGCAAGCGUUGUCCGGAAUUAUUGGGCGUAAAGAGCUCGUAGGCGGCUUGUCGCGUCGACCGUGAAAACUUGGGGCUCAACCCCAAGCCUGCGGUCGAUACGGGCAGGCUAGAGUUCGGUAGGGGAGACUGGAAUUCCUGGUGUAGCGGUGAAAUGCGCAGAUAUCAGGAGGAACACCGAUGGCGAAGGCAGGUCUCUGGGCAUUAACUGACGCUGAGGAGCGAAAGCAUGGGGAGCGAACAGG